CCGGCCAUGACUACAUGAAGGGUACAAGUGAAAAAGCUCAGUUCUUGAGAAAUUUGAAAGAAUUUAUGAAAGAUGGAAUAGAGAGAAGAUAUUCUGAGGCAUAUGGUCAUGGAUUUAGAGAAGCAAAAUGGGCAGUUGAACGUUAUGGUUUAAGAUACACACUAAAGCAUAUAGCUCGUAAGGGCAAGUUACCUGAAUGACUUAGUUCAGCAAAAUGGGCAGUUGAACGUUAUGGUUUAAGAUACACACUAAAGCAUAUAGCUCGUAAGGGCAAGUUACCUGAAUGACUUAGUUC
rnacentral:misc_RNA from 1 species